rnacentral:rRNA from 1 species
UACGGAGGGUGCAAGCGUUAUCCGGAUUCACUGGGCGUAAAGCGUGCGCAGGCGGCUCAUCAAGUCAGAGGUGAAAGCCCAGGGCUCAACCCUGGAACUGCCUUUGAAACUGUUGGGCUUGAGUACGGGAGAGGUGAGUGGAAUUCCGAGUGUAGAGGUGAAAUUCGUAGAUAUUCGGAAGAACACCAGUGGCGAAGGCGGCUCACUGGACCGUAACUGACGCUCAUGCACGAUAGCGUGGGGAGCAAACAGG